CGCAACCCUUAUCGUUAGUUGCUACCAUUAAGUUGAGCACUCUAGCGAGACUGCCCGGGUUAACCGGGAGGAAGGUGGGGAUGACGUCAAAUCAUCAUGCCCCUUAUGUCUAGGGCUACACACGUGCUACAAUGGUGAGGACAAAGAGACGCAAGACCGCGAGGUGGAGCAAAUCUCACAAACCUCAUCCCAGUUCGGAUUGCAGGCUGAAACUCGCCUGCAUGAAGCCGGAGUUGCUAGUAAUCGCGAAUCAGCAUGUCCGCGGUCCCGAAUACGUUCCGGCCUU
rnacentral:rRNA from 1 species